GGACUCUAUUGAGGCCCCGUAAUCGGAAUGAGUACACUUUAAAUCCUUUAACAAGGAUCCAUUGGAGGGCAAGUCUGGUGCCAGCAGCCGCGGUAAUUCCAGCUCCAAUAGCGUAUAUUAAAGUUGUUGCGGUUAAAAAGCUCGUAGUUGGUUCUGCGUGCCACGCUGUCGGUUCGCCGCCUGUCGGUGUAACUGGCAUGUCGUGGCAUGUCCUGUCGGUGGUGAACGGAGUCCCCUUUACGACGUAGGCUUUUACAGCUGAAAUCUGUAUUGUGGUGUGUUCCCGUUUGCCGAUCUCUCCUACUCCGGUGCUCUUAAACGAGUGUCGAGGUAGGCCGACACGUUCACUUUGAACAAAUUAGAGUGCUUAAAGCAGGCUAAAAUAUCCGCCUGAAUAGUGGUGCAUGGAAUGAUAAAACAGGACCUCAGUUCUAUUUUGUUGGUUUUAGGAAUAUGAGGUAAUGAUCAAUGUGGACUGGCGGGGGCAUUCGUAUUGCGACGUUAGAGGUGAAAUUCUUGGAUCGUCGCAAGACGCACUAGAGCGAAAGCAUUUGCCAAGUAUGUCUUAAUUGAUCAAGAACGAAAGUUAGAGGUUCGAAGGCGAUCAGAUACCGCCCUAGUUCUAACCAUAAACGAUGCCAGCCAGCGAUCCGC
rnacentral:rRNA from 1 species